rnacentral:rRNA from 1 species
UACGUAGGGUGCGAGCGUUGUCCGGAAUUAUUGGGCGUAAAGAGCUCGUAGGCGGUCUGUCGCGUCGAUCGUGAAAACUUGGGGCUUAACCCUGAGCUUGCGGUCGAUACGGGCAUGACUGGAGUUCGGCAGGGGAGACUGGAAUUCCGUGGUGUAGCGGCGAAAUGCGCAGAUAUCAGGAGGAACACCGGUGGCGAAGGCGGGUCUCUGGGCCGAUACUGACGCUGAGGAGCGAAAGCGUGGGGAGCGAACAGG